GUGCUCCAGAUGACUGUAGAUUGAGAGGUGCACCCUCUGUAAUGCACACUUGGGAACUGUAUGACCCUUAGACUGGCUGUACAGCAAGACUCUUGAGAGCCCCUGUUUCUGCUGUCCCAUCUAUGGAAUCACAGGCAGGGGUGGCUUUUAUGUGGGUCCUGGGAUCCAAACCCAGUUUCUGCAGCACCUUAUGAAACCUCAUUGUGAAUGUUCGACGAACUUCAGGACGGCACGAUGCCAUUAUGUCAAAGACUGGCCCACCGCUGCCAGCAGCUUUCAAAGGUUUUGGGGUCUGCAGAGUCCCUGAAGAAUUUUGGCUUGAAGCCCUCUUUCUCCUUCGUUUCUGAAUCCAAUGGUAGAUUAGGCGAAAUGGAAUCCGUAUGGUUCUGAUUCAUUUACACUUAACUCAUCAAAAUGUUCCUUUUUAUGAGCUAUUUGAUGUCCAGAAAGCCUUUUGAGUAGAUUUUAUAAGCCUUUUAAAGACUUUUCUCUUAGAAACAGGCGGUUGCAUUUUGCCAAGAAUAAACAAACUUGAACCUCA
ensembl:lincRNA Gm31314 uncharacterized LOC110293899